UGGGGAAUAUUGCACAAUGGGGGAAACCUGAUGCAGCGACGCCGCGUGAAGGAAGAAGUAUCUCGGUAUGUAAACUUCUAUCAGCAGGGAAGAUAGUGACGGUACCUGACUAAGAAGCCCCGGCUAACUACGUGCCAGCAGCCGCGGUAAUACGUAGGGGGCAAGCGUUAUCCGGAUUUACUGGGUGUAAAGGGAGCGUAGACGGACUGGCAAGUCUGAUGUGAAAGGCGGGGGCUCAACCCCUGGACUGCAUUGGAAACUGUUAGUCUUGAGUGCCGGAGAGGUAAGCGGAAUUCCUAGUGUAGCGGUGAAAUGCGUAGAUAUUAGGAGGAACACCAGUGGCGAAGGCGGCUUACUGGACGGUAACUGACGUUGAGGCUCGAAAGCGUGGGGAGCAAACA
rnacentral:rRNA from 1 species